rnacentral:sRNA from 1 species
AGCUUUGCAAUAUGGCGGCCGAGGCGGACGGACCGCUUAAACGGCUGCUCGUGCCGAUUCUUUUACCUGAGAAAUGCUACGACCAACUUUUCGUUCAGUGGGACUUGCUUCACGUCCCCUGCCUCAAGAUUCUCCUCAGCAAAGGCCUGGGGCUGGGCAUUGUGGCUGGCUCACUUCUAGUAAAGCUGCCCCAGGUGUUUAAAAUCCUGGGAGCCAAGAGUGCUGAAGGGUUGAGUCUCCAGUCUGUAAUGCUGGAGCUAGUGGCAUUGACUGGGACCAUGGUCUACAGCAUCACUAACAACUUCCCAUUCAGCUCUUGGGGUGAAGCCUUAUUCCUGAUGCUCCAGACGAUCACCAUCUGCUUCCUGGUCAUGCACUACAGAGGACAGACUGUGAAAGGUGUCGCUUUCCUCGCUUGCUACGGCCUGGUCCUUCUGGUGCUUCUCUCACCUCUGACGCCCUUGACUGUAGUCACCCUGCUCCAGGCCUCCAAUGUGCCUGCUGUGGUGGUGGGGAGGGUGGGUACCAGGAGCAAGGGACAAGAUGUUGGGGGGGCAGGGUGGGGGGGAAGAGUAGAAGAUCAAAGUGUGGGGGUGUUGGACUUGGGGGAGCAUGGGAAGAGCUCAGGUGACAGAGCCAAAGGUCUCAACUCCUCCCCUAGCUUCUCCAGGCAGCCACCAACUACCACAACGGGCACACAGGCCAGCUCUCAGCCAUCACAGUCUUCCUGCUGUUUGGGGGCUCCCUGGCCCGAAUCUUCACUUCCAUUCAGGAAACCGGAGAUCCCCUGAUGGCUGGGACCUUUGUGGUCUCCUCUCUCUGCAACGGCCUCAUCGCCGCCCAGCUGCUCUUCUACUGGAAUGCAAAGCCUCCCCACAAGCAGAAAAAGGCGCAGUAGAGCCAGCUACUGGAGUCAUUCCGUUUCCACUCAUUCACCCAACCUCAGGGUUCUCCCCAUCUGAGCCAGCCUGCUGGUGUGACUUACUCAUCCUCCAUUCCUCUGCACUUGCAGACUUUCUGAGCCAGGGUUUUCUUUUAGUGGAAACAAAUGGUUGAUGGAUCCAGAUCCUUAGAAAAGGAGAGGAUGGGGGUAGAGUCUCCCAAGCCAAAAAUUUGACAUUUGAGUGCUUUCGUAAGCCCUGUACGUGUACUAUUAAUUCAGUCAUUCAGCCAAGCCUCCUCCUCUAGCAGCAAUUUCCAGCUGUUUAACACUAUCCCGGGCAAAUGUUUUACCCUGUCCUCCAGCCUCCCUGCUUCCCUUCUGGCCCUGGAAGACUGAGUCUGGACGGCAGAGUGGAGGGACUGGGAGGCUGUGGCUGCCUCCCUCCCUCAGCCCGGCUGGGACUGUCUCCCGGACCCCAGUGCUGGGGUGGGGGAAGGGGGACGGACAAUGACUCAGGCAGGGCCCCAGGGUGGGGUGAGGAGGUUCCUGCUCUGGCAGGUCUAGGCGGAAGGGAGUGGAGAUGGGGCUGGUUCCUGCUGCAGUGAGGGGAACAGAUGGGACAAUAAAGACUGGAGACUCA